rnacentral:rRNA from 1 species
GAUGAACGCUGGCGGCGUGCCUAAUACAUGCAAGUCGAGCGAACGGACGAGAAGCUUGCUUCUCUGAUGUUAGCGGCGGACGGGUGAGUAACACGUGGAUAACCUACCUAUAAGACUGGGAUAACUUCGGGAAACCGUAGCUAAUACCGGAUAAUAUUUUGAACCGCAUGGUUCAAAAGUGAAAGACGGUCUUGCUGUCACUUAUAGAUGGAUCCGCGCUGCAUUAGCUAGUUGGUAAGGUAACGGCUUACCAAGGCAACGAUGCAUAGCCGACCUGAGAGGGUGAUCGGCCACACUGGAACUGAGACACGGUCCAGACUCCUACGGGAGGCGGCAGUAGGGAAUCUUCCGCAAUGGGCGAAAGCCUGACGGAGCAACGCCGCGUGAGUGAUGAAGGUCUUCGGAUCGUAAAACUCUGUUAUUAGGGAAGAACAUAUGUGUAAGUAACUGUGCACAUCUUGGCGGUACCUAAUCAGAAAGCCACGGCUAACUACGUG